rnacentral:rRNA from 1 species
CACGUAGGCGGACUCUUAAGUCGGUGGUGAAAUCCUGGAGCUCAACUCCAGAACUGCCUUCGAUACUGGGAGUCUUCGAGUCCGGGAGAGGUGAGUGGAACUGCGAGUGUAGAGGUGAAAUUCGUAGAUAUUCGCAAGAACACCAGUGGCGAAGGCGGCUCACUGGCCCGGUACUGACGCUGAGGUGCGAAAGCGUGGGAGCAAACA